CGGUUAAAAACUACACCAAAUGUCACGUGAGAAAUGAACAGAUCUGCAAUAAACUGACGAGCUGUAAGAGCUGCUCGCUGCACCUGAACUGCCAGUGGGACCAGCGGCAGCAGGAGUGCCAGGCGCUCCCCGCUCAUCUAUGUGGGGAAGGAUGGAGUCAUAUUGGAGAUGCCUGCCUCCGUAUAAAUUCUAGUCGUGAAAGCUAUGACAAUGCCAAACUCUAUUGCUACAAUUUAAGUGGGAAUCUUGCCUCAUUAACAACCUCAAAAGAAGUGGAAUUUGUUCUGGAUGAAAUA